CCAGCACCUGCGGUAAUUUCAGCUCCAAUAGCGUAUAUUAAAGUUGUUGCAGUUAAAAAGCUCGUAGUUGGAUUUCUGGAGGGAGCGGCCGGUCCGCCGUUUCGGUGUGCACUGGCCGGGCCCACCUUGGUGCCGGGGACGGGCUCCUGGGCUUGACUGUCCGGGACCCGGAGUCGGCGAGGUUACUUUGAGUAAAUUAGAGUGUUCAAAGCAGGCCUACGCUCUGAAUACAUUAGCAUGGAAUAACACGAUAGGACUCUGGCCUAUCCUGUUGGUCUGUAGGACCGGAGUAAUGAUUAAGAGGGACAGUCGGGGGCAUUCGUAUUUCAUUGUCAGAGGUGAAAUUCUUGGAUUUAUGAAAGACGAACUACUGCGAAAGCAUUUGCCAAGGAUGUUUUCAUAAAUAAAGAACGAAAGU
rnacentral:rRNA from 1 species